rnacentral:tRNA from 1 species
GGGCCGGUGGUCUAGGGGUAUGAUUCCUCCUUGACAUGGAGGAGAUCACGAGUUCGAAUCUCGUUCGGCCCAC